AAAAUGACAGGAGGAAUGUAGCUUCGAUCUCGUAUUGAAGUGUUAUAGCUUUGGUAGAUGUAACGGAAGGGAUCGAGGAUUGCAAUGAAUACCCUCAUGGGCUAUCCGCUGGCCUCUGACAUGUCACUCUGGUGCCGAAAGCGUGCUUACGGCUAUUUAAGUUGACGUCAACAGGUUAGAACGUGAUUACAUUCGUUAAGGACGUUGGCGUAAUGGCUUUAAACGA
rnacentral:rRNA from 1 species